rnacentral:rRNA from 1 species
GGACCCGCACAAGUAGUGGAGCAUGUGGUUUAAUUCGAAGAUACGCGCAGAACCUUACCAACACUUGACAUGUUCGUCGCGACUCUAAGAGAUUAGAGUUUUCGGUUCGGCCGGACGAAACACAGGUGCUGCAUGGCUGUCGUCAGCUCGUGUCGUGAGAUGUUGGGUUAAGUCCCGCAACGAGCGCAACCCUCACUUUUAGUUGCCAUCAUUUAGUUGGGCACUCUGAAAGAACUGCCAGUGAUAAGCUGGAGGAAGGUGGGGAUGACGUCAAAUCAUCACGGCCCUUACGUCCUGGGCUACACACGUGCUACAAUGGCCGGUACAGAGGGCAGCCACACCGCAAGGUGGAGCG